UGUAUGCGUGUGUGUGCAGUUGUUUAGGACUGGAGUCGGCGGUAGUUGUCGUCUUUGGGGAUCUCCGCUGUGUGAAGUAGUUGUCUGUGAGAAGUAAUUGCUGACCGGGAAAAGUCUACUGAGCGCUUUGUUUGUAGUCUGGAGAGUCGUGCGUUUAAAGCUCCUCUUUUUUUUUUUGUUAUAAUUCAUUUUAUUUGAGUCUUUUUACUAACACGAUUUUUAAUCUAAUCAUUUUAAAUUGUAUUUCUUUAAAAAAAAGUUAAUUAAAAGUUAAAUAUUUGUGUUUAAUUAAAAAAAUAACACUAUAAAUAAAGGGGAUGACAUAUUUAUUUAGUAAUGUAAUCUGUUUUCCUCUCCCAGUUAAUUCUAACUCGCUGUAAAAUGACUUGAUAGCAUGUGCGGUCUGCUCUGCCCACUUUUCCCCCUCCUGUCGGCUGGAGUAAAGGAGACUAAUUUAGAAGUUGCAGAUUUGAGCUGCCUGAAUUGGCUAGACAGCUGUAAUCGCACUCCCUCCUAGUCUUAAUCUCUUUAUCUGGCUAGCAGCUGCCAUAUGGCCCCCGUCAGCUGGAUCAGAUGUGGGUAAGCCUCCCUCCCCAGCCGUCCCAGCCUGUCCUUCUCCCUCUUGUGUGUGCGUCUCCCUCUCAGACCCCUGCCUGAGUCGGGCGGGCGGGCCGGCUGAUUCGGGCCGGGCGGUUCGGGCGACUGGCUCUGGAGCCGACGGCUCCCUCCUCGCCGCCGCCACCUCGGUCUUUAUUUUUAGCCAUCUUUAAGGAUUAGGAUUGAUGCUGUGACGAGCAGGGCACUUACAGUGAUUGUAUUGUAAAUCUUCUCUUCUGGGUGAUGGUGGGUGGGAGGGUUGAGGAAGAGGGCAGUUUCUUCGGCGAGGGCGGAUGUGCUGAGGUUUUUUUCUUGUGAGGGUCGGAUGAGAAGGAGUGCGCGAGUGCUGGUUGGUGCGUUUGUGUGGAAGGAGGAGGAGGUGGUGGUGGAGUGUGUGGCUGGACAGAGGGGUGGAGUUGGGGGUGGCGGUGGGGAGGUACACCCUUGUCCCUGUAUGUCCCCUCAUUAAAAGCAGUCUGAGCGAGCUGCAGGGCGAGCACACACACACAUACAGCGCACGCAGACGCACACGCCGCCUCGCACGCUUACAUUCUUGAUUUAGCUUCAUUCACAUGAGGAGAUUUUACUGCUUCGGUUAACACAGUGCAGAGCGGGACCCAUGUAUUUUCUCAGGCAAGACAAAUCGACUUGGUUAACAGGUUAUGAGGACGGCAGGAUGGAGUUCCCAGACCACAGCAGACAUUUACUCCAGUGUCUGAGCGAGCAGCGGCACCAGGGCUUCCUGUGUGACUCCACGGUGCUCGUGGGCGAUGCUCAGUUCCGUGCCCACCGUGCUGUGCUGGCCUCCUGCAGCAUGUACUUUCACCUCUUCUACAAGGACCAGCUGGACAAAAGAGACGUGGUGCACCUCAACAGCGACAUCGUCACGGCUCCGGCCUUCUCCCUGCUGCUGGAGUUCAUGUACGAAGGCAAGCUGCAGUUCCAGGACCUUCCCGUAGAGGAUGUGCUGGCGGCGGCCAGCUACUUGCACAUGUAUGACAUUGUCAAGGUGUGUAAGAAACGCUUGAAGCAGAAAGCCACGGCGGAGGCGGACAGCACUCGCCGGGAGGAGGACGGCGGGUCCAGCUGCUCCGAUAAGGCCGACAGCCUGUCCGACGGUUCGACGGGCCGGCCUGCUACUGCUGACCUGCUGCACAGUGAUGAAGAGGAGGAGGGGAAGGCGGAGGGAGGUCCUCUGUGGUUGAGGUUGCCGUCUGGAGACAGACCUAGGACACCGGCCAUGGCGACAACCAGCCCGGGGCACGGUGAGGCCGAAACGCAAGCAGGUGAAGGGCUCGGGGAGGGCGGGAAGGCGCCGUCCCCGGCCGGCAGCCCCAGCAGCUCCACCGGGUCUCUGUCCCAGAGGUCCCAUCGCUCAGUGAACUCUCGCGUAGGCCACAGAGGCAGGAGGGUGUCGAACGACGCCGCCGACUGCGUCCUGGACCUGUCAGUCAAACCCAUCGCCAGUAGCAACCACAGCACGCACCAUCAGUCCUAUUUCAGUGGGGCAGCUACGCCAGACAGCCUGCAGAGCCCAUUGGCUGUGAGGGUGAAGGUGGAGAGAGGAGUGGCCUCUGAUGAAGACGAGGAGCUGGGCGGCGGGGACUAUGACAUGGAGCACAGUGGCCACACCAAGACCUCGCUGUCCAACGCAAACGGGGGUCUGACCCACCACGGGGUCGGGGGUCCCCUCUCAGCCCAGCGCAGGCUGGGGCUGGAGGCGCACCUGUCCGCCCUGCGAGAGGCGUCGCUGGCCUCGGAGCUGGAGCGCGACGAGAAGCCCGCCGCCCCCGCCGACGACGAGGACAUACUGGGGGGAGAGAGCGAGCGCGCUCAGGCCGAGGUAGCCAGCAUGGAUAACUCACUGCUGCCUUACGUCUCCAACAUGCUGUCGGCGCAGCACACCCAGAUCUUCAUGUGCCCGCUGUGCAACAAAGUGUUCCCCUCCCCGCACAUCCUCCAGCUCCACCUCAGCUCCCACUUCCGGGAGCAGGAGGGCAUCCGCUCCAAGCCGGCGGGAGACGUCAACGUCCCCACCUGCACCAUCUGCAGCAAGACCUUUUCCUGCAUGUACACACUGAAGCGCCACGAGCGGACACACUCUGGAGAAAAACCCUACACCUGCACCACCUGUGGCAAGAGCUUCCAAUACUCGCACAACCUCAGCCGGCACGCCGUGGUGCACACCCGCGAGAAGCCGCACGCCUGCAAGUGGUGCGAGCGCCGCUUCACGCAGUCCGGGGACCUCUAUCGACACAUCCGCAAAUUCCACUGCGAACUGGUCAACUCGCUGUCGGUGAAGAGCGAGCCGCUGGCGCUGCCUAAUGUCAGGGAUUGGGCGAUCGAGGACAGCUCCCAGGAACUGUGGAAGUAGAAAACGGAACUUCGGGGGUUCGGCAAAAGGGAAAAGAUCCCGGGAAGGAGAGAAGAGCGGGGAGGCUUGGGGAGGUAAAGGGAGGUGGAGUUUGAAAAAAAAUUCGCUCGAAAGCAACGGAGCAGCGCAAACUGGCGCACAUACGUGUAAGUAUGCAGUUAUUGUGUGUAUUGUGUGUUUGUGUGUGUUCCCUCACCCUGUGAUGCCAACCUCUCCACUCCCUCCCAGCUCUGGCCAUGCACGACCCAUCUGUCGCAUUCCUCCUUCCAUCCCUUCUUCCAUCCCUCCCCUAUGUGCUGCACUCUGUCCAUCCCUCCCUCUUCGCAUCCAUCCUCCUUUUCCUUCGCCGCGUUUCUUCAUUUACUUCCUCUUUUCUGCAAAAGUUUCUUCCCGCUCCGCUCUCCGCCCGGCUUCUGAGCACCUGUACACAACCAGGCUUGAGCUAAUAACAACAUGUGGCGUCUCCAGCUUGUGUGAUAAUAACAAUAAUACUCAUCAAAGAUAAAACACACACGCCUCAGAGCUUCUUUCCAUUGGAGGCCCUGCGACUUGAGGCCAAUGUGAGACCCUGCAGGCUCGUGUAGAACCCCGAGGCCCAAGUUUCUGCUCCACGCUGAACCGCGGCGAUCCAAUCGGGGCCAGGGAGACAGGAAUCCUGCCGAGGGAACUGGCACUGCCUCCCCGCGUGUGAGUAGUGUAGCAUCAGGGGUGUAGCCUGGGGUGUACUGGCAUGGUUGUGCGUUGGAUUAUUGAAGGCAGCUUGGGACCAUCUGUAUGGUGGUGGCGAAGAAGUAGAGAAGAAGGAGAGGGAUGAAGCUGAGAAUCCAACCAAAGAUGAGGAGAGGAGAGGCCAUUUUCAUGACAGCUUUACAUCCUUAUUUAAAAAUAUUUUUGAUGUUUUGGACAAUGUAAAAGCAGCAAUGAAACUGCCUGCAGAGGAGCAUCGAACACACCAGACGAAUGGCUAAAAAAAUCUGCUGAAAUAGCUUUUUUCUUUCCAAAUCGAAUCGAAAUCCUCUUCGUGUUGUCAUGUGAUGCAGAUGGAGGAUUUGGGCGACACAUGCCUGAAAGAUGGAACAGUUGAGGUGUUCAAAAUCAGGAAAAAGGACCAGACAUUUAUAUGUGGGGGGGGUUUGUUGCUCUCACAUGAGACUUUUUCAGAAUGUGCAUUGGGAUGGGUGGGUGGUUGGGGGGAGCUUGUCUCAGCUGUUCCUGGGUGAGUGGCGGGUACCCCCUGUGUGGAUCCAUCUCAUCUGGACUGGAGAACAAAUAAAGGUCUGUUCAGCUGCGGCGCCGAGGAACCGUUCAUCGGCUUUGAUACAAUGGAGAUCUGCAGCUGUGAGUGUGAGUACAGUAAACGAUUGCAGAACCCCCCGCCCUCAAAGAACCGUCAACAACAUUUAUACCAGGAAAGAUGGGAAAAUUCAGCUCCAUAUUUAAAUAUUUCUAUAUCAAGCUCAGUUUUUAAAACAAUGUAAAAAGAUUUUUAUGGUUCUUUUUUGUUGUUGUUGAUGUGUCAAAAUGAACC